UCUCAAGAAUCUAUUUGGUUAAAAAACUGUUUUUUUUAUAAAGCUGAAUCUAGAGACUUAAUUGUAAGGGCAUCAUGUUUGAAUAUUGAAUGAGUCCUUUAGGAGUUUUGCAACUCAAAUUUCGGAUGGAUCAUUCGGCUUAGAACUCCCAAAGGCAUCUGUCCACUUCUACUGGAUUAAUCGUAUGGCGUUGAGCAUCCUUUGUUUUUGACCAUCAAUAAAUCGCCCCAUAAAGUGUAUUGUCAGCCCAGAUGGAGAGAUGCUUGAGAAGAGGUAAACAUGAGUGGAAUCAAUAUGUACGACAUGUUUACCUUCAAAGGAAGAAAACUUUUUUUUGUAAAGAUGAAUAGCUUGCUGGGCAGCUGGAAAUUAUUAAUAUGAUCAAUUCAUCAUGUGCGUCCCAAGGAACUUAAACUGAAGUUGCAUAAGGUACCUUCUCAGUGCUGAAACCAUUUUUUUCUUCUGGUAUAGAAACCUCUGCUUCAAUGGCUGUUGAUGCCUCUGGUUCCUUCACCAAAUUCUCUUCCCUCAUUUUUAUAUCCUCUCCUGCAUUGCAUAUAUGAAUUACUAUUUGACAACCAAGAAUUUUAAAUAGGGUGAAAUGGCUAUAUCUCUAUAAGAACGUGUAUAACAGGGUAAGGCCUGAUUGAGUUAUGUUUACAAACCAUUUGCUGUUUCUUCUUUGGG